UAGCAUCGAGGGAAGAAGCUAAUCCGGAAGUCCAGCGUCCACCAGGAAGGGUUUUAUCACUAAAUUACGUCUUUAAGUGAGAAAAGGAGUUUUUGUGUAUUUGCUGUGUUAAAGUGAGGAGUCAUGGUAUCAGGUGUGGGCCUCAAACAUCACUUGUGUUCACUGCCAUGUUUUAACUAACAAUGGACUAAAGGACUUUCUCCACUGAGCUCAUACUGCUGCUGGUGGAGAGAUGGUGUGCCAUCGGUCUGUGGUUAAAAACUGUGGACCUCUAAACAAGAGGAAUCUUUCAUCCUUGAUCUCGGCGCUGCGGUCGGGUAAAAAUCCCUCAACGCCACUGCUGCAAAACCAUCUGUCCAGGAGGAGAGUAAUCAGUGUCAGGUGAAAUAACAUGGAUGGACCAUGAAUCAGUGGAAAACUUCUAAUGUUGAUUAGAAAUCUGUGUUGGAAAUCUGAAGCAGUGCCUUGGACAGCUCUCGUGAAAAAAAGGCCUUGAAGUCGUUUCAUAGAAAGCACUCUGUUUUUCAGGAUUUCUAUUCAAGUGUGCAACUGUACUCGCCGAUGUGACUCAGGUUUUAAUAUUUCAGAAGAUUUUCUUAAGCAUGGCAGUUUAAAUAUCUGACACCUGGAGUUGUAUGAGCCAAAGUAUGUGCCCUCACUGUCAAUUUAUGUAGAGCACAAUGUGGUUUAAAACGUAAAUUAAACCUGUUAUUUUUCUACCAUAAAUUUCCAAAGUAAGUUUUUUUUAUUCUUACACGUGCGUUAUUCAAGUGGCUGUGAUUUGAUUUCAAGGUUGUAAAUGCUGAGAGAAACAUCACAACAUGGUUUUUAAAUUCCAGUGUGAUGAAAGUCGAGAA